CAGAAAAUAGUUUAAAGAUAAUCUUGGUUUUGGGGACCAAGGGUGAAAGUUCAAAUCUUUCUUUUUUGA
ensembl:Mt_tRNA